AUGGAAAACGAGAUCAUUCUGUGCCUUGACGUUGCACAAGAACGCAGGCAGCUCUCGGGCGCAGAGCUGCAGCUGCGGAGGCAGCUUAAGCCGCGCGUUCUCGGCCUUGCUGCGAUCGACAGAGCCCGCAAAUGGCAGGCGUCGCGGAUCACCUGGCUACGUGCGGGCGAUGCCAGGACAGUGUUUUUCCAGGCAAAGAUCAACUCCAGGCGAUAGAAAAACUUCAUCCACGCCCUCCACAGCGGCCGCGGCUUCGCCACCUCCCAUGCCGACAAGGAACAGAUCAUCCAUGAGCACUUCAGCUCCACCUUAGGGACGGCGACGCCGCGUAGCUGCACCAUCAGCUGGGAUGCUGUCCGCCUGCCAACCCUGCCUGCGGCCGGCCUCGACAACUCGUUUACCGAUGAUCAGGUGUGGGCGGCGAUCUGCAAGUCUCCGCAGGAAAAGUCCCCGGGACCAGAUGGCUUCAACGGCUCAUUCUUCCGCUCCUGCUGGUCGAUCAUCAAGGACGACGUCAUGGCGGCCUUCCAUCAGUUCUACAACCUCGCGGGCCGCGACAUGUCCAUGAUCAACAACGCAACGAUCAUCCUCCUGCCGAAGAAGGACGGGGCAGCGACAAUCGCUGACUUCAGGCCUAUCAGCCUGAUCCAUUCAAUCACGAAGCUCAUCUCCAAGGUCCUCUCCAUUAGGCUCGCCUCCGUCAUCGGCUACAUCAUCUUGCCUGCGCAGACAGCUUUCCUGAAGACAAAGUGCAUACAUGACAGCUUCCUCUAUGUGCAAAACACUGUCAGGGCCCUACACCGCCGCAAGACACUGUGUCUCCUUGUGAAACUAGACAUAGCGAAAGCCUUCGACACCGUGUCCUGGGAGUAUCUCCUCAAAUUGCUUCAGAAGCUAGGGUUUAGCGCGCGUUGGAGGGACUAG
rnacentral:rRNA from 1 species